rnacentral:antisense_RNA from 19 species
CUUUGCGGUAGGACGGGAGGGGGACGCCCCGCGCGUGCUGGUUCUACGAGUCCAGUCUGUCAACCCCCUUUCGUUCUACCACCCUA